rnacentral:lncRNA from 1 species
CAAAACAAGUCAGAAGAAGACCCAAUUUUAAAGAAUAGGAUUAUUCCCCCAUAGUGAUAGUCAUUAAGAAAUUUUAAGGGCUGAGAUUGUGGCUCAGCGGUAGAGCGCUCACCUCUUACGUGUGAGACCCUGGGUUCUAUCCUCAGCACCACAUAAAAAUAAAUAAGUGAAAUAGAGGUAUUGUGUCCAGCUACAAUUAAAAAAUAAGUGUUUUUUAUUAAAAAAAAAGAAAUUUUAAGCAUAGCAGUUAAGAAUCAAACCACCACUCUAUAAUGAUACAGUUAAGAAUUAUUCAAAGGUGGUAUACGAGGGUCAGAAAAUGAAAAGGGCAUGGUGUUUAAAGCUAAACAGAGCCAGGCACCAUGGUGCACACCUGUCAUCCAAGCAGCUCAGGAGGCUGAGACAGGAGAAUCUUGAAUUCAAAGCCAGCCUCAACAACAGUGAGGCGCUAAGCAACUCAGUAAGACUCUGUCUCUAAAUAAAAUACAAAAUAGGGCUGGGAAUGUGGCUCAGUGGUCAAGUGCCCCUGAGUUCAAUCCCCAGUAUAAUAAUAAUAAAUAUAUAAAUAAAGCUAAACAGAUCUAUAUUGACAUCUUGACUCUGCCUUUUAUUGGCUUUGUUACCUUGGGCAAAUCACUUAUCUCCUCUGAGUCUCCAUUUCCUGAUCUAUAAAAUGGGGAGAAUAAUACUUAUAUUUGUGGUGGUGGUGUGAAAAUUAAAAAGAUAAUGUAUAUGAAGUACCAUUCAAGUGAUAAAUAAGUGUUUAUGAGAACAUGAUACUGAAAAAUUAUUACAAAUAUUAAAGUUUUAGGUUAAUCAGUACAUCUAUUUUAAAUGAAUUGACUCACCUAUUCAGAAUUUUUAUGCAUGUGAGUGAUAUGUGAUUGUAACAUUGUAAAUCGCAAGAAGGCAUUAUCACCUGACUUAGUUCUUCCCCUUCAUUGUUGUCUCUUUGGGAAAUAAUAUACUUAGUUUGGUAAUGAACCAAUCGCCCAUUACAGUUUGGAUAUCCUACUAUAAUAUUAUUCAGACAUUUUGAGUCACAUUGCUGUAUAGUCAGAGGCUUUCAGAUAAAAAAUAAUGAUGCAUAGUUUGAUCUCUCAUUUUAAUCACUAGACUUAAACCCCAGUAACUUUUGGUUUCUUCCAUUGAGUAUAUAUCUACUAUCAAAAGGAUGGGAAUCUGCUACCAAAGAGAAAAGUAAAAUAAACAUUUAAGUAAAAUAAACAUUAUCGAUGUAGAAUAGCAUGGGUUGUAUAAAGGAAGAAAUGUAGACAUAGCAGUACAUGAAUGAAAUCCCAGUUGCUCCAGAGGCUAUGGCAGCCUCAGCAAUUU